GGUUUUGACUCGGACUUCUCUGAUUAGUGAUAUUUAUCAUCUUUUCGUGUAUCUGUUGACCAUCUGCAAGUCUUCUUUGGAAAAAUGUCUAUUCAAGUCCUUUGCCCUCUUUUUGUUUGUUUGUUUGUUUCUUUUUGGGGCCACAUGGACAGCAUAUGGAAGUUCCCAGGNGCUAGGAGUCGAAUAGGAGCUAUAGCUGUCAGCCUGCGUCCUAGCCACAGCAACAUGGGAUCUGAGCUCUGUAUGUGACCUACACCACAGUUUGUGGCAAUGCUGGAUCCUUAACCUGUUGGGCAAGGCCAGGGAUUGAACCUGUGUCCUUAUGGAUACUAGUCGGGUUUGUUGUUGCUGAGCCACAAUGGGAGCUCAAAGGGUUGUCUUUUUUUUUUUUUUGAUAUUCAAUUGUAUGAAUUCUUUGUAUAUUUUGGAUAUUAAUCCCUUAUUAGAUACAUUAUUUGCAAAUGUCUUCUCCCCUAACAGAUAAAUCAUUUGUAAAUAUAUUUUACCAAAUGUCUUGUCCCAUUCAGUAGGUGGCCUUUUUAUUUUUCUGGUAGUUUCCUUUGCAGUUCAUUUUUAUAUUUUCAAUUAGUUAUUAAUAUUUGAGAUAGUGUUUUCUAUACCAUAGGCAUAAAUCGUAAUAACAACAGGACUAUUUCAACUCUGUUUCUCUUACUGUGUUGUCAUUUACCCACCAGGCAUCUCUUUCACGUGGGAAAAUUCCACAUUCAUUUAUAUUCUUAUUCCUGAUUUUCUUCUCCAGCUUCAGCUUCACAUUUUCAACUUUCUGCAGGAAAUAUUAACUUUAUCAUUCUAAGGGCACAUGCAGUCCCACAUGAUGUUCUCAAACCAAAUUAUUUAUCUCCAAGGGCAGUAAUGACAACAUUGUUUGCUACAUUAUAAAUCCCUGUUUUGAUGGUCUAGGUUGGAAAUUUCUCCUGAUUUUGGAACAAAGGAAAAAAAUGGACUUUUCCUAAGUAACUGAUUUGCUUUGCUCUCAUAGACUGAUCCUAUGAAUAUUUUGAGGUAGUGAUUACAAGGAAGCAUCAAAGCCAAAUUCGUGACCCUGUUCUGGCUUACUUGUGGCUUCAUCUUACUUUUCCACCUUUAUUCUUCCCUGAUCUCAUUUUUUCUUUCUUACUUUCAUUUUAUCUUAUAUUAUUUUACCUUAUUGUAUAGUGUACAUUUUUAUAAGCUUCUAAAAAUCCCCCCCCCACACUGGAUAGGGGUAAACAUAAAUAAAAACUAAACACAUGGAUUCAUCCAAUUUUUCCAUCUGUUAGCUCCUCCUACUUUUCUUAUUUGUGUUCCAUCUUUCAACACAUAUCUCUGAAGCUUAAAACUUGGAAUUAUUUUAAAUCCUCUCUAUCCCUCAUUCUUUAUUUAGUCAUUUUUCAGAAAUUAUUCAGUUGUGCUUCUACAAUGUCUCUUACACAUCGGGGAAAACCAAGGGAACUGUGGUCAUCUGUUUGGGAAAUUUGGGACAGCAUUUGAAGAGAUGUGACAACCUGCAUCCUUCAGAUCCCUGAUCUUUUGGUGAAAUUAGUCGCUUUCCCCCAUCUGUUCUAUCUUUUACCUACUUACUAUGAUUAUUUUACCCGGACUAACUCUUCAUUACUAGUCACCUGGAUGAAUAAAAUUAUCUUGUGAUUGAUUUUCUUGCCUUUAGACGAAAGGUUCUCAAACUUGAGCAUGUAUCAGAAUCCCCUGAAAGACUUGCUACAACAGAUUCCUAGGUCCUAUUUUCAGGGUUUCUGAAUCUGUAGGUCUGGGUAAGGCCCAAGAAUAUGCAUUCCUGACACAGGAGUGCUUCUGUGCUGCUGCCGCUGCCCUGGGGAUCACACUUGAAGAACCAUUGCUCUAGACUGCUCCCCUCUCAUUGGCUUCUAAUGGUUUAGGUAAUUUAUUUUCAGAUUUCAAAUGUCCUACCUAGUAUUCAAGACCUUGAAAAAAGUUUAAAUUCAAGUCUUUAAUCUUUCAUUUCCUGAUAUUUCUCUUUAGUCAUGCUAUAAUACUCUUCUCUUCCUUCUCUCUUCUCUAGUUAUUGACAAACACAUUCUCCAGGGCUCUACUCAAGUAAUGUCCACUUCAUGAAGCUUUGCCCGAUAUUCCCAAUUGAAAUUGGAAAUUGGCCCUCUUUUAUUCUCUUAUAAUAUUUACAGAGUUAUGUCUAAGUAUUAGCGGAGUUAUCAUGUCUCAUCUACUGAAUUUAACAAGCUCCAAAACGGGGAGUGAGGACACUCAGUCUCUACUGCAUGCUUUCCACAGAGAGGGUCUUCUCUACAACUCAUCUGAUUAUACUUACAUAGGAUUUUUUUGGGGGGGGCAGGGACAUAGAGGCUGAAUGUUAUUAUUAAACGACUUAUAGGAUUUCCCUAAUAUUACAUUUCUUUGUGGCAAAAAUCAUAUUUCCCACUUUCAUUAAUACAAAUGAAAUAUUUCACAAAACACAUAAUAAGCAAUUAAGAAAGAGCCCAAAUUAACUCAUCAUGUUACUGGAUUUCAAUUGAACAGUGAUUUAUCUCAUCUUGAUUACUGCCAGGGUUUACUAAUUAAGUAUUAUGGCCACUUUAUGGACCAAAUUAUAUAGAUGACCAUCAUAGAAGUACUCCCUACAUUUUCCAAUUUGUAAAUAAUAAAAUAGCCAUUUUUAUACAAAUUAAUAUAUUACAAUAGCAUGAACAUGAAACACUUUUUCUCAUGUAUUUAUAAGAGUUUUCUGUAUAAAUUAUUUCCCCAUAAAAUACAGUUAAAAAAUUUUAUAUUAAGCUGUUAAAUUUAUUGAACUUGAGACUCUUCAGAGUCCAUCUUGUGGUAGUAUACUUUAGGAAUCUUUAGAAGAGAGCAUAUAAUAUUUAGCAUUUUCCCAAAUUCUUUUUAUGUUUUAAUUAUUUUAUUAUGUUUUAAUUGGCAGGGCAGCUCACAUUGAUAACUCCCUUUGUACCACUACUUGGGAACCCAGUCACAAAACUCCUGUUUAAAUAUUUGAAAAAGAGGAGUUCUUGCUGUUGUGCAGGAGGUUAAUGAUCCGGCAUUGUCUCUGUGGCAGUGUGAGUUCGAUCCCCAGCCUGGCACAGUGGGUUAAGGAUUCAGCGUUGUUGCAAUUGUGUAGGUUGUAGCUGCGGCUUGAAUUUGAUCUCUGGCCCAGAAUUUCCAUAUGCUGUAGGUGUGGGUGAAAAAGAAAAAAAAAA
ensembl:lncRNA